rnacentral:sRNA from 1 species
GUUUCUGCCUUGAGUUCCUGUCUUGACUCCCUCAAAUGAUAGACUCUCACAUGGAGAGGGCUUUGAGACCAUCAACCGCUUGGCGAUGCUGACCUAAGUACAAACAGUUCUCUGGCACCACGUGGUUAUAUACAAAUGACAUCCUGGGUGGAUCCUCAGAAGAAUGCUUGUACCAUCCACCGCAGUUCAGCCUCCUUUGAUUUCGCACUCAGCGCUAUGAGUUUUCCUCUUAGCACAGCUUUCAUUGUGAUCGGACAUGUUUCUAAGUCACAUCCUACUCACAGAAGAACAUCACUUGUAUUCCCAGAGCAAAGGUCUGCCUAUGCUUUAAUUGUCGUAUGGGUCUUCGAUGUUCUGUUCCAUCUCGUCUACCAUAAAUUUGUCCUCCGUAUCCUGAAGGAUAUAAGAAUUACUGAUACAUGCUUUGUUUGGCUCCAAUGCAGAGGAUGAGAAUGGCAACUCCUGUCAUGUUUUGGAUCUUUAAUGUCCCUAUAGACCCUUAUGGGAAAGCUUUAUUCUCCAGGCUGUGACACUCAUAGCAGAUGAUAGACCCUUUAAGAGGUAAAACCUGGUUUAAAUCGACCAAAGGGAUAUACUCCUGGAAGAGAUAGUAGGAAUGGAGCCUUGAUCAAUCAUACACACUCUCUCUCCUCUCUCUGUCCCUCCAUUUUUCCUUACUAUUUUUAGAAAGAUGAGCAGGUUUUCCACCAGCUAUUCACCCACAUGAGGACUCUGCUGAAGAGGAGGAACCCACUGAUCACAGAAUGAAGUUUUUAGCAUUGUGACCCAAAAUAAAUCUUACCUCCUUAAGUAGAUUGUUUCAACGAUUUUGUUUCAGUAACAGAAAGCUGACUAAUGUAACUUUCAGCUGCAUCAUGUUUUGAAUUACUGAAAAGGAAACUUUAAGUUUCUUCAGGCAUUCAAUAUCUUCAUCUAUAAAAUAAAGAUAAUAAUAACCUAGAAUGGUGGGUGGUGUAAAUAAAUUCUGUGCAAUGAAAUUAUUGGAACAGAGCAUGACAUGUACUAAGUGAUAAUAAAUAUUAAGAGAUCUGAA